rnacentral:rRNA from 1 species
CGGUGUUUAACUGGCGUGAUGUGGGACGUCCUACCGGUGGGCUUAGCCUCGCGAGGGGCGGCCCAACUAAUAUCCCGUCGCGGUGCUCUUUACUGAGUGUAGAGUCGGGCCGGUACGUUUACUUUGAACAAAUUAGAGUGCUUAAAGCGGGCUAUCCUCGCCUGAAUACUGCGUGCAUGGAAUAAUGGAAUAAGACCUCGGUUCUAUUUUGUUGGUUUUCGGAACCCCGAGGUAAUGAUUAAUAGGGACAGAGGGGGGCAUUCGUAUUGUGACGUUAGAGGUGAAAUUCUUGGAUCGUCGCAAGACGGACAGAAGCGAAAGCAUUUGCCAAAAAUGUUUUCAUUAAUCAAGAACGAAAGUUAGAGGUUCGAAGGCGAUCAGAUACCGCCCUAGUUCUAACCAUAAACGAUGCCAGCUAGCGAUCCGCCGAAGUUCCUCCGAUGACUCGGCGGGCAGCUUCCGGGAAACCAAAGCUUUUGGGUUCCGGGGGAAGUAUGGUUGCAAAGCUGAAACUUAAAGGAAUUGACGGAAGGGCACCACCAGGAGUGGAGCCUGCGGCUUAAUUUGACUCAACACGGGAAACCUCACCAGGCCCAGACACCGGAAGGAUUGACAGAUUGAUAGCUCUUUCUUGAUUCGGUGGGUGGUGGUGCAUGGCCGUUCUUAGUUGGUGGAGCGAUUUGUCUGGUUAAUUCCGAUAACGAACGAGACUCUAGCCUGCUAAAUAGGCGUACCUUAUGGUAUCGCGAAGGCCCCCGGCUUCGGCCGGUGGGUUUUUACUACCAACGUACAAACAAAUCUUCUUAGAGGGACAGGCGG